GACGAACGCUGGCGGCGUGCCUAAUACAUGCAAGUAGAACGCUGAAGAGAGGAGCUUGCUCUUCUUGGAUGAGUUGCGAACGGGUGAGUAACGCGUAGGUAACCUGCCUUGUAGCGGGGGAUAACUAUUGGAAACGAUAGCUAAUACCGCAUAACAAUGGCUGACACAUGUCAUGUAUUUGAAAGGGGCAAUUGCUCCACUACAAGAUGGACCUGCAUUGUAUUAGCUAGUAGGUGAGGUAACGGCUCACCUAGGCGACGAUACAUAGCCGACCUGAGAGGGUGAUCGGCCACACUGGGACUGAGACACGGCCCAGAAUCCGACGGGAGGCAGCAGCAGGGAAUCUUCGGCAAUGGGGGCAACCCUGACCGAGCAACGCCGCGUGAGUGAAGAAGGUUUUCGGAUCGUAAAGCUCUGUUGUAAGUCAAGAACGAGUGUGAGAGUGGAAAGUUCACACUGUGACGGUAGCUUACCAGAAAGGGACGGCUAACUACGUG
rnacentral:rRNA from 1 species